CACCCGAAAACAUAGAGAAAGCCCACCCCACUCCCCAGCAUCUUCUCGAACCACCUCUCCCCGACGGCUCCGCCCCCUGCUCCCACGCGCCACAGCCCGCCGUACCCCUGCUCCCAUGCGCCGCCGCCCGCCGCCUCCUUUCUCCCACGCGCCGCUGCCCGCCGCCUCCCUGCUCCCACACGCCGCCGCCCGCUGCCUCCCUCCUCCCAUGCACAGCCGCCGCCGGCCACCUGCCCCUCCCUACCCACGCGCCGCCGCCGGCCGCCUGCCCCUCCCUACCCACGUGCUACCCCCGCCGAGCCAGCCUGCUCCUUCCGCUCCGCCGUCCACGUCGCCUCGCUAGCCACCUUCUCCCCCGCCGUCGCGCGCCUUCUGGCCGGUGCUCCUUACGGCACCGCUCGCCGCCCCUUCUCCAACCUGUAGCUCUGCCGCCGUGCUGUCCUCAUCGGCCUCGGCUACGUACCUCAGUACAAUCCCGUCGUCCCAGGCCGUUCACUUUUGCCACACGCACACGGCGUCUCUCCGGCGACUGCGGCCGGGAACAUGCGGCCCUACUCCCUGCUUGAUUCUCUCCUACCCAGCUCCUGACGGCCCGUGGAGAAGGCAGAGAAGUCAGUGUGUGUUAUUUGUAAAUUCUCUUCCCCCUAUCUCAUUUCAUUUAUGUUCUGGAUAUGAUGUUCAUGAUGGAAAAUUUGUGUAUGGUGUAGUUCUUGUUUAGAUGUGGGGCAAGUUCCAAACAAUAGAACUUGAGAAAUUUGAAAACCCGAAUUACUGGGGAGUUUGCUGGAAACAAAUCAUGUAAUCGAGCUCGUCCAUGGUUCAUAGUCCAACUGCUAUCUCCGCCUCCUGUCGCUCAAAGAAUCACGUGCAGGCCACCUCGUGCUCCGUAGCUGUAUCCGGCUGGGCUACUCAUGCGACAAGCUCCUCUUCCAGGUCUGGCAGCCCCCUGUACUUCGUCAAUCUUUCAAAAUUUGAUCCUUUUUUUGCAGGAUGCCGAAAAACACGAUGCAACAUUUAUGAAAAAAGACAUGAAUUUAGAGGAGGAUGCAACAUUGGAACGUAGAAGACCCAGUUCACAAAAAAAACUAAAAAAAUAGCAGGAAUAAGCAGCAGUUUCCAAAAAUGAAGAUGGAGAUGUGUGCAUCCAUACAUGUGUUCUGGACUUAUAUGGUGGUGUGUGCGUGCUGCUGUAUCCUCUUCUGGCCACUCUAAUCUACACCAUCAGUACAAGCCGAUGCAUCACCAAGCAGUUCGACAGGGGUUGCGGGGUUCAGUUCGACGAUGAAGAGCCAGGCAGCCGGCCUUUGCAUCAUGAACUGGCACAGUUCGAUCUUAAUUGAUCGCGUAAAAAAACAACUUCAGCAUGCCAAUGAGACCUUUUCACUGAAUGCAGCAGCAGGAGACACAAGAUCACCUCCGGCGCCGCUGGUCACAUGAAGGCCGUCAAAAAUGGUAUAUUCUCCAUAAAAAGGAGGUUCGGAUGACUAGGGACGCGAGCACCUGCCGGAGAGCUCCUCCUCAAUGAGUAAUUGGCCUUGUGGUGCACUUGUGCUCUACACAUGUUUGUCUUAAUGCCUUUUAAAGAAAAAAACAUGUUUCUAAUGUUCAAUAGUAUGGUCCUUCUCAGCAGAUGUUAUACAGCAUACAUUUUUUUCAGUACAAACUUUUAGAAAGUUUCUUUUUGAACUUCUCACAAUUAAUAUACAUGAACUUGAUUAUCUUUUUAAUGUGUACUGAUAUCAGCUUCGUUGGAUUUUUGUGCGUGUUCUUGUAACACAAUUAGUUCAGAUCUCGAGAGACCAUAAGUUCAAGUUCACUAGUAUUUAUAAAUGUUUAUUGUAGUAUAGUAUUUACAAAUUUCUUAUAAUUUCCAUGGGUCGGGGGCUGUACAUAUUUCUUAUUUCUAUUGCUAUAAGUUCAAGUGAUCAAAUGCUAUAAGCUCGCAUGUUAUUCUACAAUUAGUUCAAGUGAUCAUUGUUUUAUUUUUUUGUGUAUAUGUCUAAGAGUAAACUUUGUGACCUGAACUUUCUACUUACUUCUUAGAGAAGGUCCCUUGGAAAAGAUGACUAGCUUUCCAAGUUGGGUUAUCCUCAUACAGUAUAUAUUUUAAUAUGGAAUAGGAAAAUAUAUUUGCUUUGCAGAGCAUUAGAUUCUCGAAAAGUAGAAUGGUUGAGCUAGUUCAGUUUUUCACUCCAUAAUUUGUUUGCUAUUCGGUUCAUCUAAUUCCAUAUCGUAAGUACAACUCCCUUUAUGUUUUGCAUCUUCAUAUAACACUAAACAGGCACCAGAGGAUAAGGUGAGAAUAUAUACUAAUAAAAUGUGUGGUGGCAUUGCCACAUUUGAAUUUAAACCACUAGCAUUUUUAUACACAAGGGCUUGUCCUGGGAGAGCCCUAUAUAGGCAUGAGCACUACUGUUACAAACUUUAAUCCCCCAUCUUCCGGCCUGCAGAGCAUUAGAAAAAAGUUCAAUUUUGGAAAUUCAUUCAGUUCUCUGGUUAGUAGACUAGUGGUUCAUCUUGCUAAAUCUUGUGGUUUAAAGUUUCUUUUUUGUUAUAGCAGUUCAGUGUGUAUUUUAAGAAGAAAACCCAACAACAACGGCUGCACUGGAGCCGCAGGACUACUAUUGCUGAUAGGUUUGUGAACUAAAAAACAUUCUUUUUAUGUUCAUGUGAUGUUUCAUAUUUUUGUGAACUGAUAGUUGAUGCUCUUUGUGGACUGAUAGAUGAUACUUGUUGUUAACCGAUAAACUAAAUAAAUGAGAUGGAUGUAUUAUCAGGUCGUGAAAAUGAUGUAAAAAAUAUGUGCAAUUCAGUGGAUGAGUAUUAUGUAUGUCCUUCUAAUCUGAAGGUAGUGGCACCACUAAGAAAAACAAAAUAAUCAGUUUUUUGUAGCCAUGGAAUGGGCAUUUGGCUCAGUAAUCUUCCAUUGCUAAAGCGCUCAAGCUGUUCACCCUUACCACCACAAGCCGUUCACCUCCGCCACACAAGGCCGUGUGACGACGCAACUAUCAAAACGUUCACCUCUGCCACAGGAGGCCGAUGCAACGCUAAGAAUGUUUUGUUCUUUUUCAGUACAUGUUUUGUGUGCUUUUUAGUACACCUACUUAAUGAUUCUAUGUCCAAUUUCCCAUGUUUAAGUGUUCUUCCUAUAGCACAACAGAAGUUGUGUGUUAUGCUUAAUAAGCAUUUGAGAAAACCUUGUAUGGAUCAAAACUAGCAUAUGUUCUGUUCUAUUCUUGUAAAUGAAGCUCCACUUUUGUUUUGUUUGAGGUUACUUGACAUAAAAAUUAGUAUAUGUUCUAUUGUAAAAACAUAUCUAAAAUGUCAUGAUGCAUGCUACCAGAAAUCUGAAAAUACACUCAGUUCAGUUCCUAUAUUUUAUUCCAGUUCAAUUUAGAACUAUUUGCAACUGUUCAGACUCGAGUGUUCCUAUAUUUUAUUUCAGUUCAAUUUAGAAGUAUUUACAACUGUUCAGACUUGAAUUUACAACGGAAAAACAUUUGGAAG